rnacentral:rRNA from 1 species
AGGGUUUAUGACUGAGUGGCGGACGGGUGAGUAACGCGUGGGCAACCUGCCCCGUACCGGGGGACAACAUCCGGAAACGGCUGCUAAUACCGUAUACGUUUUAAGGACCGCAUGGUCCGUAAAACAAAACUCCGGUGGUACGGGAUGGGCCAGCGUCUGAUUAGCUCGUUGGCGGGGUAACGGCCCACCAAGGCGACGAUCAGUAGCCGGCCUGAGAGGGCGGCCGGCCACAUUGGGACUGAGACACGGCCCAGACUCCUGCGGGAGGCAGCAGUGGGGAAUAUUGCACAAUGGGGGAAACCCUGAUGCAGCGACGCCGCGUGAGCGAGGAAGUACCUCGGUAUGUAAAGCUCUGUCAGCAGGGAAGAAAAUGACAGUACCUGACCAAGAAGCCCCGGCUAACUACGUGCCAGCAGCCGCGGUAAUACGUAGGGGGCAAGCGUUAUCCGGAUUCACUGGGCGUAAAGGGAGCGCAGGCGGCACGGCAAGUCUGAUGUGAAAACCCGGGGCUCAACCCCGGGACUGCAUUGGAAACUGCCGGGCUGGAGUGUCGGAGGGGCAGGCGGAAUUCCUGGUGUAGC